rnacentral:rRNA from 1 species
AGACGUCUACAUUAGAUACCCGUGUAGUCCCAGCCGUAAACUAUGCGCGUUAGGUGUAUCGGUGACCACGAGUUACCGAGGUGCCGGAGGGAAACCGUGAAACGUGCCGCCUGGGAAGUACGGUCGCAAGGCUGAAACUUAAAGGAAUUGGCGGGGAGCACCACAACAGGUGGAGCCUGCGGUUUAAUUGGACUCAACGCCGGGAAGCUCACCGGAUAGGACAGCAGAAUGAUUGCCGGGCUGAAGACCCUGCAUGACUAGCUG